AAGGACUACUGCAGAGAGAUACCUAGCAGCCAAGCAUCAUGAUCAUUCAAACUACGAGCCUGCUGCAACAAGGACGCCAAACUAAUUGAGGAAUGAAACAAGAUUGGUUCGCCACAAAAACAACUGUGUCAGCCCAGCAAGGCUCAAUGUCGUGCUUAUCCAACAUCUGAGAUCUGUUGUGAGAUAAGAAUAUGCUACUCAUCACAAUUGAUAAGUAGCUGGGAAGUUCACUUUGAAGUUCAGGACCGGGUAGCACGUA
rnacentral:lncRNA from 1 species